GACGAACGCCGGCGGCGUGCUUAACACUGCAAGUCGAACGAGAAGAGGGAAAGAGCUUGCUCUUUCCGGAAUUGAGUGGCAAACGGGUGAGUAACACGUAAACAACCUGCCUUCAGGAUGGGGACAACAGACGGAAACGACUGCUAAUACCGAAUAAGUUCCAGAGCCGCAUGGCCCAUGGAAGAAAAGGUGGCCUCUACCUGUAAGCUAUCGCCUGAAGAGGGGUUUGCGUCUGAUUAGCUGGUUGGAGGGGUAACGGCCCACCAAGGCGACGAUCAGUAGCCGGUCUGAGAGGAUGAACGGCCACACUGGAACUGAGACACGGUCCAGACUCCUACGGGAGGCAGCAGUGGGGAAUCUUCCGCAAUGGGCGAAAGCCUGACGGAGCAACGCCGCGUGAGUGAUGACGGCCUUCGGGUUGUAAAACUCUGUGAUCCGGGACGAAAAGGCAGAGUGCGAAGAACAAACUGCAUUGACGUACCGGAAAGCAGCC
rnacentral:rRNA from 1 species